rnacentral:misc_RNA from 1 species
AAAAAUUAGCCUAAUUCCAAAAAUGCAACAUUUUCAUGUGUGAUAUGCUGCUUCAUCAAUAGUUACAUGCAGAUCCUCCUCCAUCUUGAUGAAUCAUAGCAUCGAUUUCAUCACCGUUUUUUAAUCCAAGUUCAUUCACAGUCUUAUGUGACGAAAGACGUUUUCCAUCUAAGAAAAAUCGAAAUACUUUAUAAUUCAUCAUUUGUUUUUUUGAACUGUAUGACAUGAAUAUAUCCUUCAUAAUUGUACUAGUAUUCACUUUGAAAUGAAGAAUUGUAUCAUCCUGAGCUUUG